GACUCCUUACCAGACCUGCUCAGCUUAGUGGCUGAAGACUGACGCUGCCCAAUCACCUUGGAAGCCCCCUGGACCAUCAUGGAUGCCAAGCUUCGGGUAACUUUCACAGUGGAGGGGUCUUGCUUACUUCCCCAGUCUGGAAUACAGUGGUGUGAACACAGCUCACUUAGCCUCGACUUCCAGGAUUCAAGUGAUCCUCCCACCUCAGUCUCUUGAGUAGCUGGGACUACAGCGCAUGUCACCAGGCUUGGCUAAUUUUUUGAUUUUUUGUAGACAAAGGGUCUCACUAUGUUGCCCAGGCUGGUCUUGAACUCCUGGGCUCAAGUGAUCUGUCUGCCUCAGGCUCCCAAAGUGCUGGGAUUACAAGUGUGGGUCACUGUGCUCAGCUGAACUGCUUUAAGGCUAUAUUUGGACUUUGAAGUCAAAUGAAAAUGUAUAUGAAGCCAUGUGAAUAUAUGAAACAGAUCAAAGCUAUUUACUAUGGACAGAGCCCAGGGCCUCUGAGGCAACACUGAAGAACCUCCAGUGCUCUACAGAACAUUCUGGAAAUCCCUACACUAGAUGAGCUCUUCCCGUUCUGACAUCACAUCACUUUCAUAAUAACAACCAAAAAAGUAAAUUUGGUCAGGUUGAAAUCCAUCCAAAUUCAUCUUCUACUUUUUUUUUUUUUUGGCUUGGACAACAGCAAAGACGUGAGGAACUAUACUGGUCCUUUGUGUUAAUGCUUGUACUAGUAAAAUAUUUAGGUUUUAAUCAUGGCUGGUUUGGUGUGCUUCAUUCAUUCAUUCAACUGUGCUAAAAACUGGGGCUAUGAAGACAAGUGUGGUCUCAAACUGCUAGUCUCCUGGGGAAAAGAGGUAAACAAGCAUAACACAGUAUUACAGCAGUUAAUGGUAUCAGCAGACUCCUGGCACAGUGGGAGCAACUCAAUUCUGCAGGAGGAGGGAAGGUAGAGGGAUAGGAAAAGAUUCACAUAAAUAGCAAUGCUAUUGACCGAGCACUUAAAAUGCAUCAGGCAGUGUUCUUAAUCUUUUAUGUAAUCAUUUUAGAGAUGAGAACAUUCAGAUAAAAGAUGGUUAAAUAACCUGCCUACAGAUUUUAAAAAAAAUGAUGGAGGCAAGAUUUACAACCAGGACAUACGACUUUAAGGCCCUACUCUUAAUCACUACACCAUUCUGCCUUUAUAUUGACAGACAUGGUAGCAGUUAAGCUGAAUCUUGAAGAGGUUCAUAUAAUCAGAUGACAGGGUAGAAGUCAGCAGAGAGGAGAGGAAGCAGCAUGAAUGAAAGGGAACAGAGGUACAAGACAGCAUGGCACACGGGGAGUUUGAAGUUGUUAGGCCAGCUGGAACACAGGGUGGAGGAGAGUCUGUGGGCAGGAAAACAGGUUAGAGGCGCUACGCUUCCCUCCCCCUUUGGCAAGAUCCCCAUCUUUGUCUCUGCAAUAACAGACCAAAAAGAAGUCUUAGAAAAUGGAGUAGACGGAAGAGAUGGAAUAACUGGAUUCCAUCUCAGAAUGCCAUUGACCUUGGAGUCUCUCUGAUCUUAGGGGAUAAUGGGUAAAUAAAAUGUAUGAAUUCUGCCUGAGGGCUGAAAAAAAAUAGAAAUAAAAUAAAAUGUGUGAAAGUUCCUACUGUUGACUAGAUAAACGUUGGCUGAAUCUGAAUGUGUGGCAGAUAUUACACAAAUUGGGGUCCUGGAUAAAAAGCGUAUAUGAAGUACUCUUAAGGAAGGGAAAGGAUAAGAACCAGACUGCAAAAAUCACUUCAGUUCCUGCGCAUGAUGAAAGGUUUAAGUGGCUGCCUUAUAAAAACUGCAGUGCUUGCUGUUAGAAUAAAUGAGCUGCACGAGAUAUCCUUAAAUCAAUGUAAAGUAGCUGUGGUUUGUAGUUUCUGCUGCCUGGCCAAACCAGUACCUUAACUACUCCCCUUGGCUUUGUGAGUAUUGUCACUGUAUAAUUUCAAACAAAAAAAAUCUCGAACAAGGUGUACAGAAUGGGGACAGUACACCAUCUGCCUGUGUACACGC
rnacentral:lncRNA from 1 species